rnacentral:rRNA from 1 species
UACGUAGGGUGCAAGCGUUUGUCCGGAAUUAUUGGGCGUAAAGAGCGCGUAGGUGGCUUUGUAAGUAAGAGGUGAAAGCCUGGAGCUCAACUCCAGAAUUGCCUUUUAGACUGCAUCGCUUGAAUCAUGGAGAGGUGAGUGGAAUUCCGAGUGUAGAGGUGAAAUUCGUAGAUAUUCGGAAGAACACCAGUGGCGAAGGCGGCUCACUGGACAUGUAUUGACGCUGAGGUGCGAAAGCGUGGGGAGCAAACAGG